rnacentral:rRNA from 1 species
GUCGUGCGAGAAGUAUCUUCGGAUAUGAGUAGAGCGGCGGACGGGUGAGUAACGCGUAGGAAUCUACCUAGUAGAAGGGGAUAGCCCGGGGAAACCCGGAUUAAUACCGUAUACCUCCUUCGGGAGAAAGAAGGCCUCUCUUUGAAGCUUUCGCUAUUAGAUGAGCCUGCGUAAGAUUAGCUUGUUGGUGAGGUAAAGGCUCACCAAGGCGACGAUCUUUAGCUGGUCUGAGAGGACGAUCAGCCACAUUGGGACUGAGACACGGCCCAGACUCCUACGGGAGGCAGCAGUGGGGAAUAUUGGACAAUGGGCGCAAGCCUGAUCCAGCCAUACCGCGUGUGUGAAGAAGGCCUUCGGGUUGUAAAGCACUUUAAGCAGGGAGAAAAAGUUAUAAGUUAAUACCUUAUAACCUUGAUGUUACCUGCAGAAUAAGCACCGGCUAAUUCCGUGCCAGCAGCCGCGGUAAUACGGAAGGUGCAAGCGUUAAUCGGAAUUACUGGGCGUAAAGCGCGCGUAGGUGGUUUGUUAAGUUGGAUGUGAAAGCCCUGGGCUCAACCUAGGAACUGCAUCCAAAACUAACUCACUAGAGUACGACAGAGGGAGGUAGAAUUCAUAGUGUAGCGGUGGAAUGCGUAGAUAUUAUGAAGAAUACCAGUGGCGAAGGCGGCCUCCUGGAUCUGUACUGACACUGAGGUGCGAAAGCGUGGGUAGCGAACAGGAUUAGAUACCCUGGUAGUCCACGCCGUAAACGAUGACAACUAGCUGUUGGAAGACAAUGUCUUUCAGUGGCGCAGCUAACGUUUUAAGUUGUCCGCCUGGGGAGUACGGCCGCAAGGCUAAAACUCAAAUGAAUUGACGGGGACCCGCACAAGCGGUGGAGCAUGUGGUUUAAUUCGAUGCAACGCGAAAAACCUUACCUACUCUUGACAUACUUGGGAGCUCUUGUAAUGAGAGUGUGCCUUUUGGAACCAAGAUACAGGUGCUGCAUGGCUGUCGUCAGCUCGUGUCGUGAGAUGUUCCGUUAAGUCGGAUAACGAGCGCAACCCUUACCCUUAUUU